AACGAACGCUGGCGGCAUGCCUAACACAUGCAAGUCGAACGAGACCUUCGGGUCUAGUGGCGCACGGGUGCGUAACGCGUGGGAACCUGCCCUUAGGGUCGGAAUACCUCUCCGAAAGGGGUGCUAAUACCGGAUAAUGUCUUCGGACCAAAGAUUUAUCGCGUUUGGAUGGGCCCGCGUUGGAUUAGCUAGUUGGUAGGGUAAAAGCUUACCAAGGCGACGAUCCAUAGCUGGUCUGAGAGGAUGCUCAGCCACACUGGGACUGAGACACGGCCCAGACUCCUACGGGAGGCGGCAGUGGGGAAUAGUGGACAAUGGGCGAAAGCCUGAUCCAGCAAUGCCGCGUGAGUGAUGAAGGCCUUAGGGUUGUAAAGCUCUUUUACCCGGGAUGAUAAUGACGGUACCGGGAGAGUAAGCUCCGGCUAACUCCGUG
rnacentral:rRNA from 1 species